CUUCUCGUGGUGUACUUGGCAACGCGCCUGUCUAGUGGGUAGGAGUCGUGAGUUCGAGUCUCACCGAGAGGA
rnacentral:tRNA from 1 species